GAUGAACGCUGGCGGCGUGCCUAAUACAUGCAAGUCGAGCGAACGGACGAGAAGCUUGCUUCUCUGAUGUUAGCGGCGGACGGGUGAGUAACACGUGGAUAACCUACCUAUAAGACUGGGAUAACUUCGGGAAACCGGAGCUAACACCGGAUGAUAUUUUGAACCGCAUGGUUCAAAAGUGAAAGACGGUCUUGCUGUCACUUAUAGAUGGAUCCGCGCUGCAUUAGCUAGUUGGUAAGGUAACGGCUUACCAAGGCGACGAUGCAUAGCCGAAGGGAGAGGGUGGUAGCCGACCCUGGAAGGGGAACGCGCACAAGAGUACUGAGGGAGGCAGCAGUCGGGAAUGGGAGGCAGUAGGGGGAAACAUGACGGAGCAGGGCCGCGUGAGAGGUGGAAGCCUUCGGAUCGUGAAGCUCUGUUAUUGGGGAAGAACAUAUGUGUAAGUAACUGUGCACUUAUUGACGGUACCUGGUCAGGAAGCCACGGCUAACUACGUG
rnacentral:rRNA from 1 species